UUCGCCCUUAGAGUUUGAUCCUGGCUCAGGACGAACGCUGGCGGCGUGCUUAACACAUGCAAGUCGAACGAGAAUCUGUGGAUCGAGGAUUCGUCCAAGUGAAGCAGAGGACAGUGGCGGACGGGUGAGUAACGCGUGAGGAACCUGCCUUUCAGAGGGGGACAACAGUUGGAAACGACUGCUAAUACCGCAUGAUACGUAUUGGGGGCAUCCCUGAGACGUCAAAGAUUUAUCGCUGAAAGAUGGGCUCGCGGCCGAUUAGGUAGUUGGUGAGAUAACAGCCCACCAAGCCGACGAUCGGUAGCCGGACUGAGAGGUUGAUCGGCCACAUUGGGACUGAGACACGGCCCAGACUCCUACGGGAGGCAGCAGUGGGGGAUAUUGCACAAUGGGGGAAACCCUGAUGCAGCGACGCCGCGUGAGGGAAGACGGUUUUCGGAUUGUAAACCUCUGUCUUUGGGGGCGAAAAAAUGACGGUACCCAAGGAGGAAGCCACGGCUAACUACGUGCCAGCAGCCGCGGUAAUACGAAGGUGGCAAGCGUUGUCCGGAAUUACUGGGUGUAAAGGGAGCGUAGGCGGGGAGACCAGUUGAAAUUGUUUAAAACUAUCGGCUUAACUGAUAGACGCGUUCCAAAACUAUCACUCUUGAGUGCAGUAGAGGUAGGCGGAAUUCCUAGUGUAGCGGUGAAAUGCGUAGAUAUUAGGAGGAACCCCAUUGGUGAAUGGGGCCUACUGGUCUGUAACCUGACUCUUAGGCUCAAAAGCGUGGGAACCAAACAGGAUUAGAUACCCCUGGUAGUCCCACGCCGUAAACGAUGAUUACUAGGUGUGGGGGGGACUGACCCUUUCCCGUGCGGGAGUUAACACAAUAAGUAAUCCCACCUGGGGAGUACGCCCGCAAGGUUGAACUCAAAAGGAAUUGACGGGGGCCCGCACAAGCAGUGGAGUAUGUGGUUUAAUUCGAAGCAACGCGAAGACCCUUACCAGGCCUUGACAUCCCGGUGACCGACCCGUAAUGGGGUCUUCUCUACGGAGCACUGGAGACAGGUGGUGCAUGGUUGUCGUCAGCUCGUGUCGUGAGAUGUUGGGUUAAGUCCCGCAACGAGCGCAACCCCUAUGUUCAGUAGCCAGCAUUUAGGAUGGGCACUCUGGACAGACUGCCGGGGAUAACCCGGAGGAAGGCGGGGAUGACGUCAAAUCAUCAUGCCCCUUACGGCCUGGGCUACACACGUGCUACAAUGGCGUAAACAAAGGGAAGCGAGAGGGUGACCUGGAGCGAAUCCCAUAAAUAACGUCCCAGUUCGGACUGUAGUCUGCAACCCGACUACACGAAGCUGGAAUCGCUAGUAAUCGCGAAUCAGCAUGUCGCGGUGAAUACGUUCCCGGGUCUUGCACACACCGCCCGUCA
rnacentral:rRNA from 1 species